UACGGAGGGUGCAAGCGUUAAUCGGAAUUACUGGGCGUAAAGCGCACGCAGGCGGUUUGUUAAGUCAGAUGUGAAAUCCCCGGGCUCAACCUGGGAACUGCAUCUGAUACUGGCAAGCUUGAGUCUCGUAGAGGGGGGUAGAAUUCCAGGUGUAGCGGUGAAAUGCGUAGAGAUCUGGAGGAAUACCGGUGGCGAAGGCGGCCCCCUGGACGAAGACUGACGCUCAGGUGCGAAAGCGUGGGGAGGAAACAGGAUUAGAUACCCUGGUAGUCCAUGCCGUAAACGUUGGGCACUAGGUGUGGGGCUCAUUCCACGAGUUCCGUGCCGCAGCAAACGCAUUAAGUGCCCCGCCUGGGGAGUACGGCCGCAAGGCUAAAACUC
rnacentral:rRNA from 1 species